GGGCUCUCGCAGCCUCAGCCUCUUAAAGUUUGAAAAUUCUGCAUCACCAGGGACCUGAGUUGAUGCACAUCCCAGAAUAUGCCAGGGCUUGACUCCCAUGUUGUUCGUGGCAGAGAACGAAGUGGUUCUUCUCCCUUCCUCGGUGCCGCACCUCCUUCCUCUGCAAUAAGAGAGAACGGCCUCCAGAUGGGGAGCCGCACAUUGCCGGCAGAUUUAGAAACACUCCCUGGCAUUUGUACGGGUGAUGCAGUUUGGUGCACACUGACAAAGCACACAGAUGGAGCAGAGAGGGCCGGCCGGCCAUGAUGCUGGUGAUGCGGAGGCCUCUGGAGCCGCAGAUACUGAAUCCAGAUGUUCCAGUGUGCUGGGGUCUCUCACGAAAUCCAACCCGCAGUGUGCAACCUGGUGCAGAUGUCACAGUUCUUAAACCCUCGGCACUCUAGUCAGACGACCAACACCCACAGAUCCCCUUCCUUCAUUUUGUCCCCUUAGUGUAACUUCUACUGUGGCUCCUCUCACUGGCCAAAGUCCAUUCUCUGGUAGUUUCAUCUGUAAGUCCAAUUCCUCUGUAGCUUAGAUGCCUAGCUCAAAUCCAGCAUUCUGCAGAGAGGGGGUGCUACCAUUUGAAUUGCAAUCCAGACAACAUUUGAAUUCACCUCCAAAGCAUAAUUACAGACUUCCCAAGAUCCUGAAAGGCAGGGACUCACCGGAUGCCACCAACUAAAACACAAGGAGAGACUGGCUUGUAUGGCCCAUAAGAAGGAGCACUCAGUCACAGAAAGGUAGUCACACAGCCACACAAGCUGCCCUCUCCCACACAGAUUUGCCUGGUUGCCCAGAGAGGUCUCCCUGGUGAAAGAUGCCCAGUAGCAUUUUGGGAAGGU